AGGGAGAGAUUAUGAGAUUGAGAGAGGAAGAUUUGCAGACCGAAUGAGAGAGAGAAUGAGACCGAAUGGGAGAGACAGCUGCUGCUGUCCGAAGUAGAAGAAAGAAGAAGAAAGAGAAAGAAGAAGAAGAAGAAAGUGAGGAACGAAAAUGGGAUUUCCGACCAUGGAUUAUUGUUGGGUACUCGCAAGUGGGUCAAAGUUGCUAAGAGAACCCAAGCAGAUUAAGAUAGCCCAGUGAGUUCUAUACUGCUGAGCGUCUCUAUUUAACGGAGACGGCGGGCUCAUGAAAUCCGCCUGCAUCACGGGUGGUGGUGAUUUCCAUGGUGGAGACGAUGUUGUGGAUGCAGGUACAGAGAUGGUAGAUGAGGAUCCUGUUGCCAUGUAUUUGGGCCAUGAUGUUUGAGGCCUAGAUGCGUUGGGAGUUAAUUUUGUUGGACUAUUUAUUAGUCCUCUUUGUUAGAGCAUUUAUGUAUAUGCUUAGAUGUUGGUAUUUUGUAUAUGGCUCGUGUCGCAUGAGACAUUUUGUUUAGCCAUUCUUUGGUAUGUAAAACAUUAUUCACAUAGAUGUAUGGUCAGCUCAAAUGUGUUAAGUUAUGUCUA